UACGAAGGGUGCAAACGUUGCUCGGAAUUAUUGGGCGUAAAGCGCACGUAGGCGGCUUGGUAAGUUGGAUGUGAAAUCCCUCGGCUUAACCAAGGAAGUGCAUCCAAAACUACUGAGCUUGAGUACUAAGGAGGAUCGCGGAAUUCCCGGUGUAGAGGUGAAAUUCGUAGAUAUCGGGAGGAACACCAGUGGCGAAGGCGGCGAUCUGGGUAGAUACUGACGCUGAGGUGCGAAAGCGUGGGGAGCAAACAGG
rnacentral:rRNA from 1 species